rnacentral:rRNA from 1 species
UACGGAGGAUCCAAGCGUUAUCCGGAUUUAUUGGGUUUAAAGGGUGCGUAGGCGGUUUCUUAAGUCAGUGGUGAAAGUUUGCAGCUUAACUGUAAAAUUGCCAUUGAAACUGGGAGACUUGAAUACGGUAGAGGUAAGCGGAAUGCGUGGUGUAGCGGUGAAAUGCAUAGAUAUCACGCAGAACCCCGAUUGCGAAGGCAGCUUACUGGACCGUUAUUGACGCUGAGGCACGAAAGCGUGGGGAUCAAACAGG